GACGAACGCUGGCGGCGUGCUUAACACAUGCAAGUCGAACGGACAGGCCCGGCUUUUGUUGCGUGCUCGAGUGGCGAACGGGUGUGUAACACGUGAGUAACCUGCCCUUGACUUUGGGAUAACUUCAGGAAACUGGGGCUAAUACCGGCUAUGAGCUCCUGCUGCAUGGUGGGGGUUGGAAAGUUUCGGCGGUUGGGGCUGGACUCGCGGCUUAUCAGCUUGUUGGUGGGGUAGUGGCUUACCAAGGCUUUGACGGGUAGCCGGCCUGAGAGGGUGACCGGCCACAUUGGGACUGCGAUACGGCCCAGACUCCUACGGGAGGCAGCAGGGGGGAAUAUUGCACAAUGGGCGGAAGCCUGAUGCAGCAACGCUGCGUGCGGGAUGACGGCCUUCGGGUUGUAAACCGCUUUCGCAGGUGACGAAGCGUGAGUGACGGUAAUGGGUAAAGAAGCCCCGGCUAACUACGUG
rnacentral:rRNA from 1 species